AUGGAGAGUCGCUCGAUGAGUUUGAGGCAGUUUUGUGACCACAGUUUUCCAUGGUCGCUGAGUAGCUUGUGCUGUCUGUAUGGAGUCCUUCAUUACUCUAUUAAAGCGCUCCACACCCCCAUUUGCUUGAGGAUGAUAGACGCUUGUCCUGAUGUGUUUAAUGCCCCUUUCAGCAACAAACUCAGCAAACGCAGUGGAGGUGAACUGCGGACCAUUAUCAGUCGUAAUUUCAUAAGGAUUCCCUUCGCGGGCGAAAAUAGAAGUCAGGAAUGCAAUCGCUGUCGCCGUUGAGGCGUUUGGUGUGAAUGCGACUUCCGGCCACUUACUGAAAUAGUCAAUUAGUGUGAUGGCAAACCUGCAGUCAUAGGUUCCUUGUUCAAACGGACCAACCAAGUCGACAGCAACAUGUUGAAACGGACCCUCUGGGAAUUUGAUGGGUUGUAACGGUGCAGGUGAAGCAGCUGCUGUUCUGUCACAUGACUGGCAGGUUGUGCAUGUGGACAAUAUAUCGUGGACCAGCUCAUCCAUGUGUGGCCACCAAUAUAGGUCUCUCAGGCGUUGUUUGGUACGGACCAUGCCUUGAUGUCCUUCAUGGGCCAGGUGCACUACUUUCCCUCGCAGAGAUUUGGGAACGAUCAGCCGUGUUCCUCUAAAUAUCAGCGGUGACUCCGUUGCCAGUUCAUGUCUGACCAGGAAGUAGGGUUUGACAUCAUCUGGUAAGGGUUUGCUUACUUUCGGCCAGCCCGAGAGGAUGAUCUGUCUUAGUUUCGCUAAUUCAGGACAGUCUUCACAUUCUGCUUUGAAGUCAGCCAGUGGAAGCGCUUUUAGCUGAGGAGAAAUUUCAGCAAUCUCUGUGAUUAGGGCCUGCUCAGAGUCUUCCUUUGUGUUUGUGGUAUGCAGGGAACACGGGACAUACAGUCAGCUAUAACAUUUUGGCUUCCUGGACGGUACUCUAAGUCAUACUGGAAACACAUCAGUCUGGCUGACCAACGUGCUGUACUCAUGCCAGCUCUGUUCAUCCCCUAAGUAUGUAACAGGGUGGUGAGGGCCUGGUGAUCAGUUCUCAGAGUAAACUUGCGUCCCCAUAUGUACACCCUCCAUCUUUCGACGGUCCAUACGCUGGCGAGAGCUUCUUUUUCAAUUGUUGAAUAUUUCCUCUCGGCUGGGGACAGGGUGCGGGAACCAAAAGCAACAAACCGUUCCUCAUUGUUUGAGUUCGUCUGGGUCAGAACAGCUCCGAGACCAUAAUCUGACGCAUCCGUGGUGAUGAACGUUGCCAGAUUUGGGUUGAAGAUUGCCAGUGCUGGGCUUUUUAGUAGCAUUUCCUUCAGUUUGUUGAAGCUUUCGUUUGUUGCGUCAGUCCAUUGAAGUUCAGCCGCCUGACUUGUCCGAAGUAGCUCACGGAGUGGUUCCACCUCAGUUGCAUAGUUCGGUAGGAAUUUGCUGAACCACGAAGUCAAGCCUAAGAAGGAACGAAGGGCAGCCAUGUCCUUUGGUGCAGGAGCUUUGGCGAUGGCAGUCAGGUGGUCUGGGAUGGGGCUCAGGCCAUCCUUGGAGAUGACGUGUCCCAAGAACGGAAUAGAUGUCUGUCCAAAUGAACUUUUGUUGAAGUUGAUCUGCAGACCGAUAUCCUUCAGGCGUUGGAGGACAGCUUGCAACCGUUCAUCAUGCUCUUCUCUGGAAUGCCCAUACACUAUUAUGUCAUCCAAGUAGUUCUGUACUCCUGCCUGGCCUCUUAGGACUGUUUCCAUCAUCUUUUGGAAGGCAGAGGGGGCUGAAGCAAGUCCAAACGGGACUCGGGUAAACUGGAAGAGUCCUUCAUGGGUUAUGAAUGCUGUGAGGCUUCGGCUAUCAGGGUGAAGAGUGAGUUGGUGAUAAGCUGAACUUAAAUCAAUCUGGCUAAAAUGUGUAGCCCCAGCCAGCUGUGCAAACAAAUCUUCCAUGUGAGGAAGAAGGUAACAGUCCAUAAUCACACUCUUGUUAGGUUCACGCAGAUCCACACAAAGUCUUAAGCCUCCCUUACUUUUUCUUCCAACCGCUAGAGGACUCACCCAUUCAGCUGCAUCCACCGGUUCGAUGAUGCCUGCUUGGAGUAGCUGUUUCAAUUCAGCCGACACCUCCUCAUGUAUGCUGAGAGGUAGGCGCCGCAGUUUUUGACGAACUGGCGGUACUGUCUUGUUCACUUGGACUAUGUGGAUGAACCCUUUAACAGCUCCAAGAUGAUGGGAAGAAGAAGAAUCAAAGUUAUUCACCAUACAUGUUUGUUUACUGGCUGGUGAUCCUCUAGCAGGAUCCUCUCUUUUGUUGAUGACUUUUCCAGCAAUGAUAUCAAUGUUGAGUGCUUUAAUUAAGUCCAACCCCAGCAAAGGUGAUCCAUCUUUAACUGUGAAGAUUGAUCCUGGCACUUUUCUGUCAUUGUUUGCAACCCCCACUGAAGUUUGUAGGCAGCCAAUGACAGGCAAGUCACCUUUUGCAUAAGUGACAAGCUUAACUUUCGGUUCAAUCAAAGCACAGGGUGCAAAAUGUUCUUUGUAAAUGGCUUCUGGAAGGAUAGAUACUGAAGCCCCUGUAUCCACAAUUAACUCCAGGACCUGAGAGUGUGCCUGUGGUGUUUCAAUGUUCAUUUUGCAUGUCACCUGCUGCAGUCAUCUGUUUCUGAUCAUCCACACAUAAAACUGUAAAUUCAGGGACGAUUACUUCCCUGACCACUGCUACAGCUGAUUUACAAACUCUGGCGAAGUGUCCUUUUUUGCUGCAUUUAUCACAUUUCACUUUUGCUGCUGGACAUUUUUUAUCAUUAGCCAGGUGUUUCUCAGAUCCACAUCUGAAACAGUGACACUGUUGCACUUUAUCACUUGUCUUUUUGUGCCAUUCUUUAGAUGUAGGUCCCCGAGCUUGAGCUGGUCGCGCUCCCCUUUUACCCCGAAGACGUGCGUCCUUCACCUCCACAGCUUGUACUGCAGCAGUCUGAGCCGUGGGCGCAGCGGAGAGGAGUGUAGCAUUCUUGACCGCAGCCUCCACCUGACAUGCAAUAGUAACUGCCUUGUCCAAUGUAAGGUCCUCCUCCAGCAGUAAUUUAUCUUUAACAACACUGAGAGUAGCAUUAGCAACAAUAAGUUGAUCCCGAAUCGUCUCAC
rnacentral:lncRNA from 1 species